AGUUCUUGAGGCGAGGCUCCAAAGCGGUGGCGUCAAAGCUGGCUGCUCAGUGGAGGCCCCUAGGGAGCUGUGAACGCCCCCGUGGGCAGGCCUCAUCAGGCUCAGUAAGUCAGGAGGCUCAAGGUCGCCGCAGGCAGGGAUAUUCUGAGUCUCUGAGGGCGGAACCCCUGGUCUCCGGGGGGAGCUGCCGCUGGGCCCCAGCUGGGGGCACCGUGGAAGGCAUUUCCGCCCCGGGCACUUUGCCUAGCCGGCUGUCCGCGAAGCCGCAGCCUUCUCACUUCCGGGAGUCGAGGCCCUAGGCUGACCUCAGGUGCUAGGGUGCGUCCCUGGCCGCCGUGGGGCCCAUUACCUGACGCGGAGCAGCCGUGGGCGCCGUGCGUGCCGGUUCCCCGCGUGCCUGGCCCCACAAUGGACCAGGCUGGAGUGCGACGGUGAUUUGAGGCAGUCACUGAUUAUUUCUGUGCCUCCGUGGACUCUUCUUUUGGAAAAUCUAAGUUCCCUAAAACUCUAACAGUUAAUCUGAUAAAAUGGGACAUAAAAUACAUAUUUUUCCUUCCAUGUGAUGUGAGGAAGUUGAGCUUCAAAAAAAACGGUCACAAAAACAAAGAGAGUGCCUGGCGGCCUGGACUCCGGAUCCUGUGAAAUAAACCCGGCCGGAGCUGCUCUUGUCUGAGGACAGGAGUCCUUGAAUCACCUUAUUCCUGCGAAUAAAGGUGUCCCUCCCACUUGUCAAGCUCUUGAACUGGGUGAAUAAACCCAAUUUUUAUAAAAUCAUAAUGUUAAUUGACUAAUGGUGGAAACAAAAUUUUAUCAUAAGGUUUGUGAAUAGGCAUGGAUUCCAAGCAAAGAGACUGAGAGGCUUUAAAAUAGAUGUUUUUCACCAACCUGUCCACAAAAGAGGCUGUUUUGCCGGAGAUCCUGGCACUCAUUGAUGUCUGAGAUUUUUCUGGGACUGUGGAUAGGAACGGUCACAUGCAAGCUGUGACUCUCAUUGUUCUGUGCUUCCAGGGAAGACGACCUACCUUUUGAAUUAAAAGGCACUUCUUGCUGCUGCCAUGUGAAGGAUGUGUUUGCUUCCUCUUUCACCAUGAUUGAAAGUUUCCUGAGGCCUCCCUACCCAUGCUGAACUAGACAGAGUCUCGCUCUGUCACCCAGGCUGGAGUGCAGUGGCAUGAUCUCGGCUUUCUGCAAGUUCCACCUCCUGGGUUCACAUCAUUCUCCUACCUCAGCCUCCUGAGUACCUGGGACUACAGGCGCCCACUACCAUGCUCGGCUUAUUUUUUGUAUUUUUAGUAGAGAUGGGGUUUCACCGUGUUAGCCAGGAUGGUCUCGAUCUCCUGACCUCGUGAUCCGCCCGCCUCGGCCUCCCAAAGUGCUGGGAUUACAGGCUUGAGCCACGGCGCCUGGCCAAUUCUUCCCUCUUCUUAAAUAGCCUAACUCCAGUCUGUUAAAUGGGCAUGAUGUUUGCAUCUACUAAGAUUUUUUUUCCUAAUUAGAUACCAGUGGAUUGUCAAAAGUGCAGUUACUGAAUAUUAGCAUGGUAGUUAGAAAAAAAUAGCCCAACUGCUAUGUAAUUAUCUCCAAGUUGUAUAGGGCAUAAAUAUAAAUUAUUAUAUCCUUAGGGCUCAGGGGUGAGGUUUCGAAUAUAAAUGCUUUAGACUUUUAAGAGGCACUGUGCAUACAUGAUCAUAAGAACUUCUAAAUAUUGAAUGUCAAAGUUUUGCAGAGAAUGAGGAUAAAUGGCACUGAACGUCACUGUAGGAUUCUGUAUUAAAUUAUUGAUGUAAUUCAGUUGCACAGAUGCAAUGUAUGCACUCAGUCACAGGGAGGCUUGUCCUAGCCCUGACAUCUAACAGCUGGGUGACCUGGAGCAAGUUACUUAAUUGUAAUAGGCCUCAGCUUUCAGUUCAUUAAAUGGGAGAGUGCCACCUGACUGAUGGUUGAUAAUUUAUUGAACCUGAAAACACAUUCAUAUUUCUUUAUUAGUAAAAUGAUUUCUAUGUUUGAUAUUAUUGAUACACUAAUCAUGAGAGUAUCAAGGCAUGGCAACAAAUAUGCCCAUUUUAUUAUUAAAAAUACACAUUCUGUAAGUUAGCAAAUGCAUACUAAAUUUUUUUUUUGUAUUAGAAACUCACUGACAGUAGUAAGUAUAGUAUUAAUCCUGGAGUAUUAAGCUCCUACAGUACUAAUAAAACCAAGAUAAUUCUUCUACCUGCUAUUUUUUGGGACAGUUUUUUGGAAUCCUGAGCCAUAUAAGGACAAAUAUUCUGACACUGCCAUGCUGGAGAGACCACCUGUAGGUCCUUUGAUUGACCAUCCCAGUUGAUCUCAGACUCCUAACUAUCCUGUCCAAGGUCCAUACAUGUGAGUGAAGGUUCCUGGGAUGCUCGGGACUAGCCUCUGUGCCAACUGAGUACCACAAAGGGACCUCAGCUGUCAGUGCCCUGUGGAGCAUAAGAACCUAGCCUGGCUCUAGUUCCUCACCCACAAGGUCAGAUAAAAUAAAAUGAAUGGAUGGGUUUAAGCCAAAAAGUGAUGGGGUAAUUUGUUAGUUAGCAAAAGGCAAAAUUGGCUGUCUAAAAUCGUUUAAUAUGAAGACACAAAGAACUCAUAAAAACAGAAAAUGAUGUUAAUACGGAGAAUACCUACAAAGAUGAUCUUUCCAUUAUCUUUAUGAGAUCAUCUUAUUUAAUAUAACUGAACCUGAACAUUAGAUCAAAGAUGUAGUAUUUGACAGAAAAGCAAUUUACCAAUUUUCUCCUCGGGAACACAUUUUAUUGUAUUCUCAAACCCUUUGCCCCUUGCCAAAAUAGUUGUAAAUUCUGAUUACUGUUGUUUAAACAAUUAUUUAGUUUCUACCUACUCUAUAGGGAUUUAUAAUGCAUUAGCGGAUUCAAAUAUAUGAGAUGAUUCUGGUGUAGAGGCAAAGAGGAUAUUAUAAGUCAAUGAACAUGCACUAAACUCAUUUAUGAGUGAAGCAUAGUAUUUGUAAGCAAAGGAAAAGUUCAUUGACUUGCGUUUGGCUCUAUCAGAUUUGUAAACAUUAAGGAUGUUUAAGGUGAGUGAAAAGUUGAACUUCAGGGCUAGAAUUUCUUGUUUUUCUUAAAGCUCAUAUUCCAACACUGUUUGACAUGUACAAUAAUGGCAACCACAUUGCCUCAUGUUGCUUUUGGAGUCAAAGGGGAUUGUGUGCUUCAAAGAUGACUACUGCUAUUUAGAUCCUUUGUGGGAGGAGUUAAACUAGUGGAAAAGGAAUACGUGCUAAAGAGUUAAUGAUGUUUUUCAGAAACUGCUAACCAAAUUUUGUGCAUUUGUAGCAGCGUGAAAGAAACAUUUCAGUUUAUAAAGGCGAGCUUGUGCUUUCAACUUAAAGUAUUGCUCUGUCAGAAACAUUUGCUCUUCUAAAGCUUCUAUGGUAUUAAUAAAAACAUUUGUAGUGUGA